rnacentral:lncRNA from 1 species
UAAGAUAAAAAGAAUUCGUUUUAUUUAUUCCAAAUCUUCUAGAAAUUUAUAUUUUCUUAAAAUCACCCUAGAUACCCAAAUGUAAUAAAUUGGUUGCCAUCGGUUAGGUCAGCAUGCUUGACUUUGUCCCACGAGUCUUAGGGAUAUUUGAACCAUGUGGAGAGAGGAUUAUGGAUCAGGUUGACUAAACGUCCCAUGAGUCCUGCGAGGAUAGCGCUAAAAUCGACUCUGUGUUAUCGAGG